rnacentral:rRNA from 1 species
ACCAUGCAGUCGAGCGGUAGAGAGAAGCUUGCUUCUCUUGAGAGCGGCGGACGGGUGAGUAAUGCCUAAGAAUCUGCCUGGUAGUGGGGGAUAACGUUCGGAAACGGACGCUAAUACCGCAUACGUCCUACGGGAGAAAGCAGGGGACCUUCGGGCCUUGCGCUAUCAGAUGAGCCUAGGUCGGAUUACCUAGUUGGUGGGGUAAUGGCUCACCAAGGCGACGAUCCGUAACUGGUCUGAGAGGAUGAUCAGUCACACUGGAACUGAGACACGGUCCAGACUCCUACGGGAGGCAGCAGUGGGGAAUAUUGGACAAUGGGCGAAAGCCUGAUCCAGCCAUGCCGCGUGUGUGAAGAAGGUCUUCGGAUUGUAAAGCACUUUAAGUUGGGAGGAAGGGUUGUAGAUUAAUACUCUGCAAUUUUGACGUUACCAACAGAAUAAGCACCGGCUAACUCUGUGCCAGCAGCCGCGGUAAUACAAAGGGUGCAAGCGUUAAUCGGAAUUACUGGGCGUAAAGCGCGCGUAGGUGGUUAGUUAAGUUGGAUGUGAAAUCCCCGGGCUCAACCUGGGAACUGCAUUCAAAACUGACUGACUAGAGUAUGGUAGAGGGUGGUGGAAUUUCCUGUGUAGCGGUGAAAUGCGUAGAUAUAGGAAGGAACACCAGUGGCGAAGCGACCACCUGGACUG